GAGCCGGGCGGACGAAGGCCGCGCCGCCAUUUCGCGGCCGUGGGGCGGUGAGGGGGUGCCCUGCGAGGUGUCUCCCUCCCCGGCGGGAUUUCCUGUCGGAAACCCGUUUGGGCUUGGCUGGAGACUGCUCCACCAGGCCGGGGGCAGCCUGCGGGUUUCACCUCGCUGCCCGGGGAUGCUUGUCCUCCCGCAUGGGCUGACCAGACGCGCUUCCUGCCUGGCUGCAGGGCUCGACGCCCACCUCACACUGCUGAGCGCUGAGGUUAUUCCCCACGUCACCAGUGAAGAGGAGUGCUCGCUGAUACAGGUGGACACAGCUGCAGAGGAGCAAGGCAAGUCUACAGCCAUGGACAAGCAAGGCAGUAGGCUUCAGCAGCAAGGGAUUGCUCUGUGCUUCCAGAGUGGGAAAAGCCUGACACAAAUACAGAGAGCACCUGAAAGUGCUCUUAUGCAGUACUUGUUAUUUCAUAACGCCCCUUCCUGCACUACAACGAAGUAUACAACAUACUGUGAAAUUCUGCACCAGAAAGCUGGAAAGGAUGCGUAACAUUUCCCAGUCUACAGAAGCCUGAUGAAGAUUGAUCUGGGUGAUUGGUAAUAAACACUUUUUAUA